GCAGCCUGCAACCCGGCUGCACGAAGCCGGAAUCGCUAGUAAUCGCGGAUCAGAAUGCCGCGGUGAAUACGUUCCCGGGCCUUGUACACACCGCCCGUCACACCAUGGGAGUCGGUAACACCCAAAGUUGGUAGCCUAACCGCAAGGAGGGCGCCGCCUAAGGUGGGAUUGAUGACUGGGGUGAAGUCGUAACAAGGUACC
rnacentral:rRNA from 1 species